rnacentral:rRNA from 1 species
AGUCACUGACAUUAGAUACCCCGGUAGUCCAGGGUGUAAACGCUGCAGACUUGGUGUUGGGAACCCUUCGGGGGUGCUCAGUGCCGGAGAGAAGUUGUUAAGUCUGCUACUUGGGGAGUACGUCCGCAAGGAUGAAACUUAAAGGAAUUGGCGGGGGAGCACCGCAACGGGAGGAGCGUGCGGUUUAAUUGGAUUCAACGCCGAAAAACUCACCAGCAGCGAUUGUUACAUGAAAGUCAGGUUGAUGACCUUACUAGAUUUUCAG